rnacentral:rRNA from 1 species
AAGAAACUAACAAGGAUUCCCCUAGUAACGGCGAGUGAAGCGGGAUGAGCUCAAAUUUAAAAUCUGGCGGCCUCAGGUCGUCCGAGUUGUAGUCUAGAGAAUCGUUUUCCGCGUUGGCCUGUGUACAAGUCCCUUGGAACAGGGCGUCAUAGAGGGUGAGAAUCCCGUCCUUGACACAGACUACCAAUGCUUUGUGAUGCGAUCUCGAAGAGUCGAGUUGUUUGGGAAUGCAGCUCAAAAUGGGUGGUAAAUUCCAUCUAAAGCUAAAUAUUGGCGAGAGACCGAUAGCGAACAAGUACCGUGAGGGAAAGAUGAAAAGCACUUUGGAAAGAGAGUUAAACAGUACGUGAAAUUGUUAAAAGGGAAACGAUUGAAGUCAGUCAUGCUUUCCGAGACUCAGCCGAUUCUGUCGGUGUACUUCUCGGUUGGCAGGCCAGCAUCAGUUUCGAUCUGUGGAAAAGGUUGGAGGGAACGUGGCAUCCUCGGAUGUGUUAUAGCCCUUCUUCGAAUACAUAGAGCGGGACUGAGGAACGCAGCGCGCCUUUUAUUAGGUUGGCCCUCGGGUACAUACGCGCUUAGGAUGCUGGCAUAAUGGCUUUAAACGACCCGUC